GUGGCCGUAGCUGACUGGUUAUGUUGUUCGCUUUGUAAGCGAAUGGUCUUGGGUUCGAUUCCCAUCUGCUCCC
rfam:Culex pipiens quinquefasciatus supercont3.795 genomic scaffold, whole genome shotgun sequence.